rnacentral:rRNA from 1 species
AAGGCCAAUCAAACCCGGAAAUAGCUCGUACUCCCCGAAAUGCAUUUAGGUGCAGCGUUGAGUAAAAGUUUUAUAGAGGUAGAGCUACUGAUUGGAUGCGGGGGCUUCACCGCCUACCAAUUCCUGACAAACUCCGAAUGCUAUAAAAUGUUUCUCAGCAGUGAGGGCAUGGGUGCUAAGGUCCAUGUCCGAGAGGGAAAGAACCCAGACCAUCAGCUAAGGUCCCCAAAUAUAUGUUAAGUUGAACUAACGAAGUGAAAUUGCUUAGACAGCUAGGAUGUUGGCUUGGAAGCAGCCAUUCAUUUAAAGAGUGCGUAACAGCUCACUAGUCGAGCGAUUUUGCAUGGAUAAUAAUCGGGCAUAAACAUAUUACCGAAGCUAUGGAUUUGUAUUAUAUACAAGUGGUAGGGGAGCAUUGUAACCUGCGUAGAAGGUGUACUGUAAGGUAUGCUGGAGUGGUUACAAAAGAAAAUGUAGGCAUAAGUAACGAUAAUGGGGGCGAGAAACCCCCACACCGAAAGACUAAGGUUUCCUCAGCGAUGCUAAUCAGCUGAGGGUUAGUCGGGUCCUAAGGCGAAUCCGAAGGGAGUAGUCGAUGGAUAACAGGUUAAUAUUCCUGUACUUCUUAUAAUUGCGAUGGGGUGACGGAGUAUUGAAAGCACCGCGAACUGACGGAAUAGUUCGUUGAAAACUGUAUCUAUAAGAUCUGUAGGCAAAUCCGCAGAUUUUGGAGAAGGUUGAUAGUACUACAAAGCUUCGGCUGCGUAGAUAGUGUGCCUAAAAGCUUCCAAGAAAAACCUCUAAGCUUCAGAUUAUAAGAACCCGUACCGUAAACCGACACAGGUAGUUGGGAUGAGAAUUCUAAGGUGCUCGAGAGAUUCAUGGCUAAGGAACUAGGCAAAAUAGACCCGUAACUUCGGGAGAAGGGUCGCCCUGCUUUACAGCAGGGCCGCAGUGAAAAGGUCCAGGCGACUGUUUAUCAAAAACACAGGGCUUUGCUAAAUUGAAAGAUGAUGUAUAAGGCCUGACACCUGCCCGGUGCUGGAAGGUUAAGAGGAGAGGUUA